GUAAUGCCGGAUGCUCCGACUCCUCGCAUGGGGUGUCGGGAAAGAUUUCAUCGGUAUGGGAUGGGGUCGCGUCCUAUCAGGUAGUCGGCGGGGUAACGGCCCACCGAGCCUACGACGGGUAGCCGGCCUGAGAGGGCGACCGGCCACAUUGGGACUGAGAUACGGCCCAGACUCCUACGGGAGGCAGCAGUGGGGAAUAUUGCACAAUGGGCGCAAGCCUGAUGCAGCGACGCCGCGUGCGGGAUGACGGCCUUCGGGUUGUAAACCGCUUUUGAUCGGGAGCAAGCCUUCGGGUGAGUGUACCUUUCGAAUAAGCACCGGCUAACUACGUGCCAGCAGCCGCGGUAAUACGUAGGGUGCAAGCGUUAUCCGGAAUUAUUGGGCGUAAAGGGCUCGUAGGCGGUUCGUCGCGUCCGGUGUGAAAGUCCAUCGCUUAACGGUGGAUCUGCGCCGGGUACGGGCGGGCUGGAGUGCGGUAGGGGAGACUGGAAUUCCCGGUGUAACGGUGGAAUGUGUAG
rnacentral:rRNA from 1 species